GUCUCCCACUUCACUUUGCCAAUUAGACAGCUGUUGUCUCCAUUGGCCAUUCAGGUGGGGUAGAAAGAAUAUCCUUUUAAAACCCAGCCAGAUUAUAUUUAACUGGUUUGGAUCCUGUCAGAGGAAACAGGC